rnacentral:misc_RNA from 1 species
UGGUACGCAGCCAUGUAGUGCUGCGGCGGUGGCGGCGCGUAAUGCUGAGGUGGAAUCAUUUGGUGCUGCAUUACCAUUGCAGUCGCUGGAUACUGCAUCGCCAUCCACUGCUGCUGUUGUGGUGGUGGCGGUGGUGGAGGCGGCGGCUGUUGCUGGAGUUGUUUCUGCUGCUCCAGCUGCGAAUCGGAGCCGUUGGAUUGCAUCUUAUUAGCUUAUUUAUUAUCUAAAAGAAUAUAAAUGAAUCUGAGUUUGAAAAGAGAGAGAAGUUAGAUAUGAAUCUGAGUUCUUGGUUAGAGA